UUAAUGCUGCAAGGAGAUGUGUACUGAGUCAGUAUUCCUCAAUGUGGUGUUGACAGGGCUACCUAUGCAUGUCAGAGUGAGCCACAGAAAAUAUGCAGGAGGAUCCUUAAAAAUAGAUGGGCUCCUGUUGUCAGAGUGAGACACACAAAGUACAGUGAUCUCUACACACCUCCAUGGAAGUGUGGACUUGUGUCCUGGCCACCAACAAGGAUGCUUGAACUCCACAUGCACAUGUGACAAAAGUGUCCCUCAUUCUUCCUGUCCACUGUGUUGAUUUGGAGGAUUUCAGGUCACAUGGAGGAAAUCCUCAACCAGUCCAGUGACUACAAGGGUACACUGGGCUUGGAUAGGUCAAAUGGAUACCAAACCAGUGAGCAUUGAAAAUGUACUUCUGUGCAGGUUUUGGCCCUUGUUCUGGUUGGUUGCAGUAAGCAUAGAAAUGCUUAUGGACUCUACACGACACCCUCUUCUCCAUGUCUUCUCAAGUUCCCUUCAAGAGAAAAUAUGAAAUGUAGAAGACUCUGGCUGCAACCUCAUGGGCAUCUCAGGUAAGAACCAUGGUCCUUGUACCUCAUUGAGGACCGUGGGAUCUUUUGUAUCCAGGUGGACAUGAGGAGAGUGUGCAUAAGGUGUUGUCCUGUUUCCUGGACAAGUAUCCUCUGUGGGUCUGGAGUAGUGUAAGGUUCUGAGCUGAUUUCAUAUUCAACAUCAGUGACACUAUUUCUGGCAUAGAUAUGACUAUUGAUGGUGAACUUCUGAUGUAACCCACUCUAUUUUGCAAGUGUGUAUUCAGU